UAGGGAAUCUUCGGCAAUGGGGGGAACCCUGACCGAGCAACGCCGCGUGAGUGAAGAAGGUUUUCGGAUCGUAAAGCUCUGUUGUUAAGGAAGAACGAGUGUGAGAAUGGAAAGUUCAUACUGUGACGGUACUUAACCAGAAAGGGACGGCUAACUACGUGCCAGCAGCCGCGGUAAUACGUAGGUCCCGAGCGUUGUCCGGAUUUAUUGGGCGUAAAGCGAGCGCAGGCGGUUAGAUAAGUCUGAAGUUAAAGGCAGUGGCUCAACCAUUGUAGGCUUUGGAAACUGUUUAACUUGAGUGCAGAAGGGGAGAGUGGAAUUCCAUGUGUAGCGGUGAAAUGCGUAGAUAUAUGGAGGGACACCGGUGGCGAAAGCGGCUCUCUGGUCUGUAACUGACGCUGAGGCUCGAAAGCGUGGGGAGCGAACAGG
rnacentral:rRNA from 1 species